rnacentral:rRNA from 1 species
GACGAACGCUGGCGGCGUGCCUAAUACAUGCAAGUCGAGCGCAGGAAGCUGACGGAACUCUUCGGAGAGAAGGCAGUGGAAUGAGCGGCGGACGGGUGAGUAACACGUAAGGAACCUGCCUCAAGAAUUGGGAUAACUCCGAGAAAUCGGAGCUAAUACCGGAUAGUUCAACGGACCGCAUGGUCCGCUGAUGAAAGGCGCUUCGGCGUCACCUUGAGAUGGCCUUGCGGUGCAUUAGCUAGUUGGUGGGGUAACGGCCACCAAGGCGACGAUGGAUAGCCGACCUGAGAGGGUGAUCGGCCACACUGGGACUGAGACACGGCCCAGACUCCUACGGGAGGCAGCAGUAGGGAAUCUUCCACAAUGGACGAAAGUCUGAUGGAGCAACGCCGCGUGAGUGAUGAAGGUUUUCGGAUCGUAAAACUCUGUUGUAAGGGAAGAACACGUACGAGAGGGAAUGCUCGUACCUUGACGGUACCUUACGAGAAAGCCACGGCUAACUACGUGCCAGCAGCCGCGGUAA